UGACUGGAGUCUCAGACCAGUGCUCUUUUGAGGCCUUGUAAUUGGAAUGAGUACACUUUAAAUGAUUUAACGAGGAUCAAUUGGAGGGCGAGUCUGGUGCCAGCAGCCGCGGUAAUUCCAGCUCCAAUAGUGGAUCUUAAAGUUGCUGCAGUU